UUUUUUUUUUUUUUUUUUUAACAGACAGAAGACGGAAAGGGCUUUGAGACGGUUUCAGAUGCCGCAUCCCUAGUAACAUUUCAGAAACAACCGCAGGUCAAGUUUUGGUGUAACAUCACAGAAAAUUAGCUGAAAAGGCUUUGAAACUAUCCUCCCCGUAUUUCAACCAAAACAACCUCUGACAACAGACUAAAUGCAGAAAAGAUGAUAACCCAGGGGUCUUUCUGAAGCCAGAAACUAAAGAGAUUUACCAGUGUCAUCCCACUUGUCUCAUCAACUGUUUUUAUUUUAGAAAACAGUUCUUUUUCAUAAAACAAUGGAUUCAACAUUGCUAUUUUUCAAAUGAAUUUAAAACUAAAAUACAUAAUUUUUUUUCUCACAUAGCAUUUCUACUAAGGUGACUAUCAAGAGAUAUAAACCACACAGACACUAGUUAUUUGGGAUCCUCAGUAACUUUUAAGAAACCAAAAAGUUGGGGAACCCCAGUCCUCAUGAAUACUAGUAGAGUUUGUUACCGCUGAGCCAUGAUGGGAACUCCCGGGUUCCCAAACUUUUUGACUUCUGACUAGUAUCUCUGAGGACGCAGGUUUGAUCCCUGGUCUCACUCAGUAGGUUAAGGAUCCAGUGUUGCCAUGAGCUGUGGUAUAGGUUGCAGAUGUGACUCGGAUCCCGAGUUGCUGUGGCUCCGGCUGUGGCUGUAAGCAUUAGCUGUAGUUCUGAUUCAACUCCUAGCCUGGGAACCUCCACGUGCUGCAUGUGCAGCCUUAAAAAGCCAAAAAAAAAAAAGUUUGGGGAGUUCCCGUCGUGGCGCAGUGGUUAACGAAUCUGACUAGGAACCAUGAGAAUUCAUCUCUAACAAUGAAAUCACAGAGAGGGACAAGGAAAAGGAUUCCUAAGCCCCCAGAAGUCACAACCCAUGAGUACCUGCCACUUCUAUCUUUGUGUGGCAGGUGAUAUUUAUUGGCUCCCACUCGUGUCCCCAUGCUCCUACCACUUUGAUGCACAUGAGGCCCUCUUCCAGUCACCCCUACCUGGGGUUAUAACCAUCUGAGGGUUUCUCUGCCUCCAAAGCCCACUUUACACCACCACACAAGAGGCGGGAAGUGACAGGAGCUGGUGUUUAAACAGACCUGGCCCCCUUCCCCGAGGGGUGGGACAGAUCACAGGGGGUCCCAGAGUUUUCCCACAGGAUGAAACCCCAGUAGUUCUUGGUGAGAGUGGCUGGCAAAGGUACCCUGCGCCUCUCCAGUUCCACAACUCCAGGCUCUUCCUUAACCUUCCAAUAAACCACGUGUGCUCAAACCUCAUCUUAGAGCCUCUGCGGACUCUAGGUGUAUAAGCGACCUCACGCCCGGGGCACAGUCUGAGACUUCCCCUGGGUCAGGGGCGGGGAGUGACCUGCGGCUCAGCAUGAGGUGGCCU
rnacentral:lncRNA from 1 species